rnacentral:rRNA from 1 species
CAAUAGCGUAUAUUAAAGUUGUUGCAGUUAAAAAGCUCGUAGUUGGAUUUGUGGCGUACGGUGUGUUCCGGGCACUUGUUGUCUGAGUAACCUGCUGUUGCCAUCCUUGGGUGGAACCUGUGUGGCAUUAGGUUGUCGUGCAGGGGAUGCCCAUCAUUUACUGUGAAAAAAUUGGAGUGUUCAAAGCAGGCUUAUGCCGUUGAAUAUAUUAGCAUGGAAUAAUGAGAUAGGACUUUUUCGCUAUUUUGUUGGUUUGCGCGAAGAGGUAAUGAUUAAUAGGGACAGUUGGGGGUAUUCGUAUUCCAUUGUCAGAGGUGAAAUUCUUGGAUUUUUGGAAGACGAACUACUGCGAAAGCAUUUACCAAGGAUGUUUUCAUUAA